GCACAGCCAUAACUCUGAUAUGGACUUCAGCAGAGAUAGAAGUAUGAAUGGAUCCGUAAUAAUUUCAAAGAGCAAGAUCUGAGACUCUGUCCAAUUUCCUCGAAUUAAUAACUGUCUGUAGGAUAUGACCAAGCAAUUUGGAACCUGACAGCAGAGUGUCUGUCAAGAGAGGCAAAGCAAGUGGGAUUUACAUCACUGACAAAUCUCUUUUCAUGUCAGAGUACAAGACAAAUGGUUUCUUUUACCCUUCAUUUACAACACAAAGAUAGAAAUGCCUCUGGAAUCAGAUGAUGGAAAGAUCAAGACAUUUCAUAGAAGAGAUGACACUCAAGGAUUCUGCUGCUUAUGGCAAACACAAUCUUUAUUUAGAAGGAGCAGAACCUGAAAACAAGCGAGGCGAGAGAAAAAAAUCAAUGUGCAGAGACUAGAUGGACCUACCAAGCUGUUCACUAAUGACACCUGCAUGACUGUGAGGGAUUGCUGAUGAGAGUGCUCUGUCCCUGCAACAGCCCAGAGCCGUGUCUCAGUAAGCAGGGGAUCAGUUGGCAGGAAGGGGGAGAGGCAGGACAGCCCUGUGGCUCUGCCACCUCCUGUACUCCUACCAGCUGUGCGUUGCUGGACCACGCUGACAGCGGUGCCUCAGAGAGGAUUCCCAGCCCUGCCUGUGUCCUGGGGAAGGAGCCAACCACCCCACACCAAGGACAGAGAGAGCAAGUUGGUGAAAAAAGCAGCAGGCAAAAUCUCAUUUCAUGACUAUGAUACAUGCACAUAUACUCAUAUGGAGUCCUCAACUCACAAUUCGGUAUUGAAAACCAACCCUGUGACUGUGGACAUGUAUUGUGGCAUAUUUUCCAUAUGCCAUGCACAUAUGUUUGGGAAGAGGAUAGAGAGAGGGCGGAGGAAGAGAAGCAACUCAUGACUACUGACUUUUGAGGAAAGCACAGCUGUAAUCCCAGCCUGUGUGACUGGAGGAAGUGCUCUGAGCCAAGCUCACUUACAUAGUGUUUUCCUUUUAUACUCUUCCACCUAUAAAGAAAUCAUUCUGGUGACACAAGGAAAGCAGAAAAGAUUUCAAUUUUUUUACAUCUUACAAUAUUUAUAAUUAAUAUUUUAAGC
rnacentral:lncRNA from 7 species